rnacentral:lncRNA from 1 species
CACUGAAAGUCCCAGUUAGGUCAAACCAUUAACAUGAACCUACUCAAUGAUUCUAACUAAUGAAUGAUCAGACCCAAAGAUGGCUCGAUCAACCCAACUAUCAAUAGAUAAUAUAACAGAGUCAUCAUAUGAUAAAUGAUAAUUCCAUUAUUCAAAAAGAACACCAGACGGAUGGCACCUGCAAUAUCAAUCAAAAAUAAUAGACCCAUUAUCAUUCACCUUAAUGAGAGGCAAUGAUCUGGUUAUCCCCACAACUAGCUUAUUUUAUGGACCUAAUAAUUUAAUAGAUUUAAGAAUCAGUUUAGAGAAG